CCUGGUUGAUCUUGCCAGUAGUCAUAUGCUUGUCUCACAGAUUAAGCCAUGCAAGUGAAAGUACAUAUGUAAAAUAUAUUGAAACUGCGAACGGCUCAUUAAAACAGUUAUAAUCUACUUGAUGUUUUUAAUAUAAGGAUAACUACGGAAAAUCUGUAGCUAAUACUUGUGAAAUACCUUUGAUAUAUACAUAUGUAUGUAUCAUUAAGGUAUGUAUUGUUAGAUAUAAGAAUAAAAUAAAUAUAAUUGAAUUAUAACAAAGAAGAAACACAUAAAAUAUGUGUAUUAUCAAUCGAGUAUCUGACCUAUCAGCUUUGAUGUUAGGGUAUUGACCUAAAUGGCUAUGACGGGUAACGGGGAAUUAGAGUUCGAUUCCGGAGAGGGAGCCUGAGAAAUAGCUACCACAUCUAAGGAAGCAGCAGGCGCGUAAAUUACCCAAUUCUAAAAAAGAGAGGUAGUGACAAGAAAUAACAAUACAAUAUCGAAAAAUGAUUUUGUAAUUGGAAUGAUAGGAAUUUACAAGGUUCUAGAGAAACAAUUGGAGGGCAAGUCUGGUGCCAGCAGCCGCGGUAAUUCCAGCUCCAAUAGCAUAUAUUAAAAUUGUUGCAGUUAAAACGUUCGUAGUUGAAUAUUAAAGAAUCCGAUGUUUCAUUUAAACUGGUUUGGGAAACCAAAUAUAUUAUAUAUUUUGCUUUGUUCAAAUAAGGUUUUCUAAUAAAUUAUGUUUUUAUCAGAUAUGACAGAAUCUUUUUUAAAAUCUCUUCAAUAUGCUUUUAUUGCUUUUGAGAGGUUUUGUUACUUUGAGUAAAAUUAAGUGUUCAUAACAGACGGGUAGUCAUGAUUGAGUUCAUUGUGUUUGAAUACUACAGCAUGGAAUAACAAAUAUGAAUAAGCUAAUUAUUUUUUUUUUUUCAUAAUUUUUUGAUAUUCUUAUUAGCUUAGUUACGAUUAAUAGGAGUAGCUUUGGGGGCAUUCGUAUUCAGAUGUCAGAGGUGAAAUUCUAAGAUUUUCUGGAGACGGACUACUGCGAAAGCAUUUGCCUAAUCUAUUUCCAUUAAUCAAGAACGAAAGUUAAGGGAGUGAAGACGAUCAGAUACCGUCGUAAUCUUAACCAUAAACUAUACCGACUAGUGUUGGAUGAAUAUAAAAAAUAUAAAUAUGUAGCAUUUCUUAGGGAAUGUUGAUUUUAUAUUAGAAUUGCUUCCUUCAGUACCUUAUGAGAAAUCAAAGUCUUUGGGUUCUGGGGCGAGUAUUCGCGCAAGCGAGAAAGUUAAAAGAAUUGACGGAAGGGCACCACCAGGCGUGGAGCUUGCGGCUUAAUUUGACUCAACACGGGAAAACUCACUAGUUUAAGACAAGAGUAGGAUUGACAGAUUAAUAGCUCUUUCUUGAUUUCUUGGAUGGUGAUGCAUGGCCGUUUUUAGUUCGUGAAUAUGAUUUGUCUGGUUAAUUCCGAUAACGAACGAGAUCUUAACCUGCUAAUUAGCGGUAAGUACACUAUAUUUUAUUUGAAAUUGAAUAUAGGUAAUUAUACAUGUUUAUUCAGUGUUCAAAUUAGAUAUUUUUUUAUUAAAAUAUUCUUUUCCCUGUUCUACUAUAAUAAUUUGUUUUUUUUUACUCUAUUUCUCUCUUCUUUUAAGAAUGUACUUGUUGAUUAAAUAAAGCUUCUUAGAGGAACAGUGUGUAUCUAACACAAGGAAGUUUAAGGCAACAACAGGUCUGUGAUGUCCUUAGAUAAACUAGGCUGCACGCGUGCUACAAUGAUAUAUAUAACAAGUUGUUAAAAAUGUACUUAUAAAUAAGUGUGUACAGUUUUUCCUGUACUGAAAAGUAUAGGUAAUCUUUAUCAGUAUAUAUCGUAAUUGGGAUAGAUUAUUGCAAUUAUUAAUCUUGAACGAGGAUGCCUAGUAAGCAUGAUUCAUUAGAUUGUGCUGACUACGUCCCUGCCUUUGUACACACCGCCCGUCGCUCCUACCGAUUAAAGAUAUGAUGAAUUGUUUGGAUAUGAAUUAAAAUAAUGAAAUUUUAUAUUCUGAUUUUUUCUAGAAGAACUGUAAAUCCUAUCUUUUAAAGGAAGGAGAAGUCGUAACAAGGUUUCCGUAGGUGAACCUGCGGAAG
rnacentral:rRNA from 1 species